rnacentral:rRNA from 1 species
UUUAACAAAAACAUGUCCUUUUGAGUUCAAUUUAAGGUCGGGCCUGCCCACUGACUAAAGUUGAAGGGCCGCGGUAUUUUGACCGUGCAAAGGUAGCAUAAUCAUUAGUCUUUUAAUUGAAGGCUAGAAUGAAUGGUUUGACGAAAUAUUAACUGUCUCUUUAUAAUAAGUAGAAUUUAACUUCUGAGUUAAAAGGCUUAGAUAAUUGUAAAAGACGAGAAGACCCUAUAGAUCUUUAUAUAUAAAUAUUCUUAUUUUGUUUGGAUGGGGUUUUAAUAGGGAUAUAAUUAUAUUUUGUUGGGGUGACAUGAAGAUAAAAUUAACUCUUUAUUAUAUAAACAUUGAUUUAUGAUUCAUUGAUCCGUUAUUAGCGAUUAUAAGAAAAAGUUACCUUAGGGAUAACAGCGUAAUUUUUUUUGAGAGUUCUUAUCGACAAGAAAGAUUGCGACCUCG